GACGAACGCUGGCGGCGUGCUUAACACAUGCAAGUCGAACGGAAAGGCCCUGCUUUUGUGGUGUGCUCGAUUGCCGAAGGGGUGAGUAACACGUGUGUAUCCUGCUCUUCACUUUGGGAUAACUUCAGGUAACUGGGGCUACUACCGGAUUGGAGCUCCCCCACCAUGGUGGGGGUGGGAAAGUCUCGGCGGUCGGGGAUGGACUCGCGGCUUAUCAGCUUGUUGGUGGGGUAGUGGAUUACCAACGCUUUGACCGGUACCCGGCCUGAGAGGGGGAACGGGCACAUUGGGACUGAGAGACGGCGCAGACUCGAACGUGAGGCAGCAGUGGGGAAUAUUACACAAUGAGCGGAAGCCUGAUACGACGGCGCCGGGUGCGUGAUGCCGGCCUUCGGGUUGUAAACCGCUUCCGGCUGUGACGAAGCGUGAGUGACGGUAAUGGAUGAAGAAGCACCGGCUAACUACGUG
rnacentral:rRNA from 1 species